GCCUUUUUGGUGUAGUGGUCAGCACGCUCGGCGUGUAACCGAGAGGUCCGCGGUUCGAUUCCCGGCGAAGGCG
rfam:Stegodyphus mimosarum contig123950, whole genome shotgun sequence.